AUUGAACGCUGGCGGCAUGCCUUACACAUGCAAGUCGAACGGCAGCACGGUUGCUUGUUGCUGGUGUCGAGUGGCGAACGGGUGCGUAAUACGUCUGCACCUGUCCCGUCGUUUGGGUUAGGCCUGCGGAAGCCGGAUUUAUACCGCUAACGCACUCCGGAUACAAGCGGGGGACUUUCAGCCCUGGCGCUUUAGGGUUUGCAGAGGGCUGUUUAGCUAGUUGGGGGGGUAAAGGCAUACCAAGGCGACGACCAGUAGCUGGUCUGAGAGGACGACCAGCGACACUGGAACUGAGACAGGGACCAGACUCCUACGGGAGGCAGCAGUGGGGAAUGUGGGACAAAGGGCGAAAGCCUGAUCCAGCGAUGCCGCGUGUGUGAAGAAGGCCUUCGGGUUGUAAAGCACUUUUGUCCGGAAAGAAAUGCUUGGGGCUAAUACAGCGGGGGUAUGACGGUACCGGAAGAAUAAGCACCGGCUAACUACGUG
rnacentral:rRNA from 1 species